rnacentral:lncRNA from 1 species
GGUAGUGGCCAGUUUGGUCUGGUUACUCAAAAUCCUUCUUUCUCGAUUAUAGAUGCCACAUAUGUGUUUUUUAGUUCCUUUUUAAUUGCAACAGCCGACAUACCUUGCUUACAGGUACUUCUAUAUGUCAGCUUUGGAGCUGUGUCCUGGUCCUUGGAAUUGCCAUCGACCAGAUCGGAGAGGGGGAGCAACAACGACAGAGGUAAGGAAAAGGAAGGAAUAUGUUGUAGCUCUGUUUGCCUGCAGUGCUCACUACUACUGUUGAAGUCUAGCAACAACAACUAUGAACUCUAAAUGAAAAUUUUCAGCUUAUUUUAUUUCGGGAAGCCUGAUUGGUCACUAGAGCCAAGUCAAAUUUCUAACUGAACUAGAUUUUUGAGUUAGAUUUCAUUUUUUAGCUCUUUUGCAUAUGAACAAAACAAUAUUUGGAGCUGAAAGCUAUCAUUUUGCCAGGCAAUUUUAUUCCAUGCUUUGAGCUUCAAAAUGAUUUGAUGAAAUGACCAGUCAUAUACAUAUGUUUUGAGUAGGUCCUGAACAUAGUAUACUAUGAUGUUUAAGUAGCUCCAAAAUUUACUGAUUUGCUUCAGCCUAUAGGUAUGUAGGUCUUCAGUCUUGGCAUGCAGCUAUGCAUCAGUAUCUCCCAUCCACAUUGCUCCUUCUCCGUAUUAUUUUGUUUAGAAAAUAUUUUAUAUAUACAGAGAAGGUGGUGAGGCAAUGCCAAGUGGUAUGCAAGAUUCGGAGAUUUCACAUUUUUAUUUUUUCUAAAAGAAUUGCUAUUUCAACUAGAUUGACUAUGCUUUUAGUGUACUUGCACAUUCUGCUUUACUCAAGUACAUUUUUACUACAACAUGUGAAAUAAUCAUGUUGAGUUGUUCAUAUUACAAAAGCAGUUCUCUUAAAUUCAGCUUAGGUUUGCAUUGUUAUCUCAGUCUCUAUCUCUUGGAUUCACUUUUGUAGCCAAUUGUGAAUAAUUAUUUUACAUUCAGAAAAGUGAUUCUACAGUUUUACAUGUACUAGCUAGAUUAGGUAUGUAUUUAGGAAAACCCUCCUUUAUUCAUGCUCUUAUUUCAUAGAUAUAGACUACUGAGUGUAGUAUGCAAUCUGUUUUUUUUAUCUGCACCCAACUCACUGCAUGCAUCCAACACUGCAGUUAGUGAGUCCACCUGGAUGCAACUUUUGCAACUUAUCAGCCAAACGAACAAGACGAGUGAAUAUUCUUAUCUAUAAGGUCUUUUUUGUGUCAGCAAAUUGCAAGCAUCAAGCCUGUCAAGAAAACUACGACAGUCAAAAUAUUUAUUGCACGAGCAAAUAAAAUGGCCUUAUUAUGACUUGGCUUGUAACUAAUUAUCUAUUAGCAGGUUUUAGCAAAUAUCAAUGUGAGCUUAGAGUAAGAGAGAUCUUGAUUUGAUGGGCCCCAGGAGGGAUGUAAACCGCUGCUAGCAAGACCACAACUGCCACACAACUCCGGGAGAAAGGGAGGGCGGCCAUAGCAUAUGGCUUCUGGAGGAGGGCGACAUCUGUAGUUUGAGAAGCCAAGCUCCCUAUGUUUGUGAUUGCAAGAUGAAAGCAAAAACUUGGGUGGAAGCAUGGCAAGCAACAUGCAUGCUACAGAUUUGCAAAGCUGCUUUUUUUCUUGCUUGCUUAAAAAAUGGCAAAAUAUAUAAGUAGCUUUUGAAAAUAGUUAUGAGAUUACAUCAGUGAUUUAUAUUUUACAAUUAGAGUCAUCACUUGAUCUCUUGAAAUACUAGAAAAUAUAGAUUUUUAAAUCCGUAGCAACGCAUGAACCUAGUCUAAAAUAUAAACAAAAAAGAGUUUAGUGGUUCCUAGUUGUAGAUGGG